GGCCUACCAUGGUGGUAACGGGUAACGGGGUGUUAGGGCACGACACCGGAGAGGGAGCCUGAGAAACGGCUACCACAUCCAAGGAUGGCAGCAGGCGCGCAAAUUACCCAAUCCCGACACGGGGAGGUAGUGACAAUAAAUAACAAUACGGGGUCCUUUAGGGUUUCGUAAUUGGAAUGAGUACAAUUUAAAUCUCUUAACGAGGAACAAUUGGAGGGCAAGUCUGGUGCCAGCAGCCGCGGUAAUUCCAGCUCCAAUAGCGUAUAUUAAAGUUGUUGCAGUUAAAAAGCUCGUAGUUGAAUUUCGGGAUCAGUACGCUGGUCGUGCCUUCGGUAUGUACUGGUGUUACUGGUUCCUACCUUCUGACGAACCGUCAUGUCAUUAAUUUGGUGUGGCGGGAAAUCAGGACUGUUACUUUGAAAAAAUUAGAGUGUUUAAAGCAGGCUCGCGCUUGAAUACAUUAGCAUGGAAUAAUGAAAUAGGACGUUCGAUCCUAUUUUGUUGGUUUCUAGGAUUGACGUAAUGAUUAAUAGGGAUAGUUGGGGGCAUUAGUAUUCAAUUGUCAGAGGUGAAAUUCUUGGAUUUAUUGAAGACUAACUACUGCGAAAGCAUUUGCCAAGGAUGUUUUCAUUAAUCAAGAACGAAAGUUAGGGGAUCGAAGACGAUCGGAUACCGUCGUAGUCUUAACCAUAACUAUGCCGACUAGGGAUCGGAUGAUGUUAAUUCUUAAUGAAUCAUUCGGCGCCUUACG
rnacentral:rRNA from 1 species